rnacentral:rRNA from 1 species
GACAGAGGUGCCAAGCGUUAGGCGGAAUCACUGGGCUUAAAGCGUGUGUAGGCGGAUGUCUAAGUACCUUGUGAAAGCCCCCGGCUCAACUGGGGAGGGUCACGCGAUACUGCUCGACUUGAAGGCAGGAGAGGGAAGUGGAAUUCCCGGUGUAGUGGUGAAAUGCGUAGAUAUCGGAAGGAACGCCGGUGACGAAAGCGACGUGCUGGACCUCUUCUGACGCUGAUGCGCGAAAGCUAGGGGAGCGAACGGG